rnacentral:rRNA from 1 species
CCUACGGGGGGCAGCAGUGGGGAAUAUUGGACAAUGGGGGCAACCCUGAUCCAGCCAUGCCGCGUGUGUGAAGAAGGCCCUCGGGUUGUAAAGCACUUUCAGUGAGGAAGAACGCCUGGUGGUUAAUACCCAUCAGGAAAGACAUCACUCACAGAAGAAGCACCGGCUAACUCCGUGCCAGCAGCCGCGGUAAUACGGAGGGUGCGAGCGUUAAUCGGAAUUACUGGGCGUAAAGCGCGCGUAGGUGGCUUGAUAAGCCGGUUGUGAAAGCCCCGGGCUCAACCUGGGAACGGCAUCCGGAACUGUCAAGCUAGAGGGCAGGAGAGGAAGGUAGAAUUCCCGGUGUAGCGGUGAAAUGCGUAGAGAUCGGGAGGAAUACCAGUGGCGAAGGCGGCCUUCUGGACUGACACUGACACUGAGGUGCGAAAGCGUGGGUAGCAAACAGGAUUAGAUACCCGUGUAGUC